rnacentral:rRNA from 1 species
UACGUAGGGUGCAAGCGUUGUCCGGAUUUAUUGGGCGUAAAGAGCUCGUAGGCGGUUUAGCAAGUUGGGGGUGAAAACUCCAGGCUCAACCUGGAGAUGCCACCCAAGACUGCUAUGACUGGAGUCUGGUAGGGGAGCACGGAAUUCCUGGUGUAGCGGUGAAAUGCGCAGAUAUCAGGAAGAACACCCGUGGCUAAGGCGGCUCUCUAGUACGGUACUGACGCUGAGACGCGAAAGCGUGGGGAGCGAACAGG